UCUUUCUGUGUGCUCUUUGUUAAUUUGUUUCCAUUUUGUGCAGGCUUACUUCAUAAUGUCUGCUAAAUAUUUGAUGUUGUUCCAUUUUAGUAUUAUGGGUUUCUCCAUUAUAUUAAUACGUGUAUGUGAAAAAACUUUUUUCAGGGUUGACAGGGUUCAGGGAAAAGUACAAGAAUUCCCUAUGCUGCACUGAAAAGAGGGGAGGUGUCAGUGGAGGGCCUCCCAGAGGACUUCAACCUCAAGAAGCCAGGGGAGUUGGGGCGGGAAAAACUACAGGUCAUCCUGGACCGGAGGGAGGAGAUUAGUGUGAAACAGCAAGUUUCCAGUCCAGUCAAUGCAGAUGUGGAUGAUUCAACUGCUCAAUCUGCUGAAGGACUAUCCUCAACAGCUGAGGAGCUGCUGACUGGGGUGAUGACUGGUCUGGGGGAGGCCUCACAGACCGGAGGAGAAGAGGUCAUCUUAUCCAGCCAGGCUCCAGAUGCAGACAGAAAUGUCUGGAACCUUUCUUUUGCUUCAUAAACUAAAAUUAGAUUGAUGACAAAGA